UACAGAGGGGGGCAAGCGUUGUUCGGAAUUACUGGGCGUAAAGGGCGCGUAGGCGGCCUGCUAAGUCGAACGUGAAAUCCCUGGGCUCAACCCAGGAACUGCGUCCGAUACUGGUUGGCUUGAAUCCGGGAGAGGGAUGUGGAAUUCCAGGUGUAGCGGUGAAAUGCGUAGAUAUCUGGAGGAACACCGGUGGCGAAGGCGACAUCCUGGACCGGUAUUGACGCUGAGGCGCGAAAGCCAGGGGAGCAAACGGG
rnacentral:rRNA from 1 species